ACUUUCAAUAUUAAAAAGUCAGCAGUUUACGGUGCGACGUUUUGUGAUUUCGCAAUAGUUCGCAAUCCAGAUCGUAUUGCUCACUUCCACGGGAUAGAUUCCGUUUCUGUCUCCGUCUGUGGAUCUGUUCUGGAUCUACCAUUAGACCUGCUUAUCUGCAUUGUUCAUGACAAGCUGAGCAAAACAGUCAGCCACAAAAAAAUCUAAUGAAAUUUCAAAUGCAGUUAGCACUACGGCGAUUUCUAUCAUUUCACAGCUAAGAUACUUCGACUAUAAUGAUCUAUAAUGAUUUUCGCCCAUAUCCUUGUUGGUGACUGCGUCACCAUGAAGCCCCUCAUGGUUCUAAAACUAACGCAAACCAGCCCACGAGCGCAAAAACAACAUGAUCUGGAUAUUUAUUCUCGGUAGGUUCAGCAUUUCUUCGGAUGACUCUUGUCAUAUUUACAAACACAACCCGGAUGAGAUUUCAGUAUAACCGUAGUAGCAAUAUACGUAAAAGCUAAGAAAAUUGUCGUGGGCGGCAAUUCCCCGUUGGACUGCAGCUCAGAAAUGAACUCCUCCCGAUUAUACACGGUAAAAAACUAUAAGUACAGGAGAUGUCCAGUGGUGUGCGAUGUGUGUCAAAAUGCAGGCUUUAGCACUGUUUGUUUUUUGAGCCGCUCAUAGGCAGUAGUAAGCAGGUACUGCACAGGUGCCGUGCAGGCCCGUUCUGGAUAUGCUGAGUGCAUACCCUCUGUACUUUUCAGUGAUCCACAUUUUUUUAUUCUUCAUUCCCUUAUUAUGAAAUAUUCAAAUUAUUAGUAUCACUGACGAUAUCGUCUUGUUACACAUUCUUUGUGUCACUUAUUAUUCUAUCGAAAACCUGACGUUUCGGCCAAAUAGCAGAUCUGCCCGCCUCACAGCCAAACCAGAGGAUGUUUAUUUUGUUGGUUGCGUGGCAGUACUUGUUUCAGAGUCAGUGCACCCGCCAUGGUUUUUGCCGCUGAAUUCAGUCAAGCAUGGCCAAGAAUAGCGAUGAACAGCAUAGCCAAGAAUUGUUGUGAAAGAGCUGGCUUUCCUUGUCAGCUGGAAGCCUGGAACCGACUGGGCUAUCAAGCACAGAGGGAAAAAGACCCGACGGGAUGACGCUGAUACCUGUCCGCCAGGGCAAACCGCUGGUUUGGGACGUAACAAGCUGGUGUACUGUUGCAGAUUCUCACGUUACCGGAAGCUCGAAGAAAGCCGGAAGUGUGGCGCAACUGGCAAAAAAUUCCAAACGCCGGACGUACUUGUUUUUGGAAUACGGAUACCUCUUCUAUCCUCUGGUUACUGAGACGCUGGGAGUUUUUGGUCCUGCGUUUAGUGAACUACUGCAUUUCAUGGGCCGCAAAAUUCCGGACUUAACGGGUGAAGCGCGUUCUAAUGCUUUCCUCAAGCAGCGUUUUAGUUUAGCUGUCGUCAAAGGGAAUGCUACGGCUGUUUGAGUGCCUUGCCUUUCUACUUGAGAGAGGAUAGGGAUUUUGGCUGUUUUUUUAAUGUUUAAUUUUUAAAAAUUAAGUAGUGUACCAGCGCUUGCAAUUAUUGUUAUUCGGGUGGCUAUUGCCAAUAAAGUAUUGAUUCAGUCAAGUGUGGCUGCUGCAGAGGGAAUGCAUAUUUUUAUCUUUGAAGUUUGAGCUCUUGGUUCCACCUUUUUGUUAUUCUCAUCCCGUUUUGUGAAUAAAACUUUUCGUUUUCACUUUUCUGGAAUAAUUUAACGAAAGUGCUAUGCGCCCGGAAAUUUUCCGGGCGCAUAGCAGAUUUCCCUGUUGUAUUACAGGGAAAUCUGCGAUAUCGCAUGUUUUAAUUGAGUUUGCUAUUUUUGCUAAUUGCAUUAUAAUAAUUUUGCAUUCGAGUUCGCGUUAAGGUUUAUUUAUUAGGCUGGGUCCGGAUGAAAGAUUAAAGCAGAUGCCAUGAUAAACGAUAAAAAAAUCUGAGCGCCAAAUGGCCGCACUCUCUAAGCCCUGCGGAGCCCGCAGCACGAGGAUCCGAUCCUUGACGAUAUCGUCCCUACCAUUGAUGACGCAGAGUUACUCUAAACAAGUAACGAAAUCGUUAGAUUGAAGAGCCGAAAAAACUGCGGGCGGUCGGCAAUAUUGCAACAGCAACCAUCAGAAAUGAUGCAAAUUGUGCAACUGCGUGAAGAGCGAGUUUCUUGCAUUUGGAUGGGCUCGGAUGCAACGUGACAAGCGGUGAUCGCCUGUAUCGUACGAUGAAUGCGUGGAAGAAGAAGGCCUUCGAAGGUUUCAGAACACCAAUUUAAGGAUUAGAUUAAAGACAAUAUUGUCAGACGUUUCUUGUUUGGUUGGUAAAAAGUGUUUUUUUGAAGUUUAGUAUCAGAGCGCCCAAUGACUAGAAAAUCAAUAAAUUCGUGAUUUUGGAUUGUACCCCAGAGUAUCGCUUUUUGUUUUAUUUUUCUGCGUGUUUGAAGUUUUUUCAAGGCGGUAAUUAAUUUGUUGAUUUUUGUUUGUUUUUUUACUGAUGGAAUCCGGGUACGAUAUCGUA